rnacentral:lncRNA from 1 species
UGAGCCAAAACAACAACUCUUUAUUGUAAAGAGGCAGGGAGUUGCAGCUGACUCAUGCGGCCCUGGGACCUGGAAGGCAGUUGGGAAGCCUUCCCUGGGCCCUGGUCUCACUUAUCUGUUUCUUUGGCCACAUCUGCUCGACUCUCUGUGUGUGUCUGGUACUCUCUCUGACUCUCUCUCACCCUAGACUUCUACUUUUCAUGUGUAUAUGGCCAAGCACGGCCAUGCACAGUUGCAGUCCCCACUCUUGAGUUUAUAUUCCUUUAGUUCAAGUAUCCAGCAGGAAUUACUCAAGUUUCUCAGUACCAAUGCCAAUUCCUGUGAGACAGAACCUGACUGUUGAGGGCCUGGAAGCAUUGUGUGGUAUGAAACUGGCUUCUGGGGCCCACCCUAGUGGAUGAGAGGCACAGUUCUCAGCACAGAGGAAAGAGGGCAGGACCUGUCGAUGGGAAAUAGAGAGAGUGGACCAAUUUGGCUAAAGAGGUAGAAUUUGGACUGGACCAAGGAGUGAAAUCCCAGGUAACAAAUUUUAAGUCAGUAAAACAAAGAGCUCCUUAGGGUGGCCCAAGGUGGACCAGCCUGCAUGGGAUGAGAGCUCUAUCAAGAAUAGAGUCAGUUCUUAACAGCCCAGCUUUGCUUCAUUGAUUGCUCAUCUGCACAGCCACAAAGAUGAAAACACACCCGUUUUCCUUUUUGUAUGUGCAAAUGGAUAUAAACUGCUAAAAGCUGUGUACAGAGCGUGCAUUGUAUUGUAACCAGUGCUAAUUACUGAGGAGUGCUAUACUGGUAACUUUUUUUCCCCAAAGUGUGAAGCUUUCCUUUUUAGUCUUGAUUCCUGGAUAAUAGGACAUUCUUCACUUGGACUUUCCCUUAUGGUCACCUAUGAUUGUGGCCAUUUGAGGCUCAUAAAUGGAAAGAAUGUAUAUUGUUUUCAUUCUGAAGCAAAUAAAAUUUCUUACAUUUCCAUGCUCAGAGCUACCUCUUUCUGUUAUUGUCUUGGAUUUUUUUUCUCCUUAGUGACCUAGUUUUAUCUAUUCUCUUCAGAUCUGCAAAAGCAAAUGGCACAGUUGUUAAAGAGGAAUUCUCAUUCUGUGGUAGUUGAGAGAAAUAUCUUUAUUUUCUAAACAAAGCAGCUGUGGGCUGGGCGCGGUGGCUCACGCCUGUAAUCCUAGCACCUUG